AUCUUUCUCCUUCUGACUGAAUAACGCCUCGAAGAGAGAUUUCAGGCCGUUGUGGAAAUUUCCACGGAUCACCUUAUCACUCGCACAAAGAGAAUUGACGAGAAAAUAAAUUAUACAACACAAAACCACCCACUUCCCAGUCCAAUGGAAAUUUACCCUCAUUGUAAUACAUGAUAAUCUUCGUCCACUUAGUCAGUGGCAGAUAAUGGAAAAAACCUUAGAAACACUUCUACUUAAGCAAAUUCUCGUCGCCUUCAUUCCCGCAACCAUACUCCUGACUCCUAGUUUAGAUGCAGACGAUCUCAUUUCACUGGUAUCAUCACGUCAUAGAUAUUAUCGCUCUUAAGAGGAAGAAGUACUGCUCCGGUGUAUUCCUAGAUGUGAAGCAAGCCUUCGAUCGGACAUGGCACUCAGGGCUACUACCUGAUCCUAAAAUUCUACUUAACUAAAUUUAAGUCAUCAGUGGCUCCUCCAUCCUCUUCACAGUAUACACCGCAGAGAUUCCUUUGCUCUCAUAAAAAUCCCGUCAUCUCUACCUGAAAUUUGCAAAAUUCAUAUCACAUCCCUUUGAGCACCAGUGGAAAAUGAAAAUAAACAUGCAAUAAAUACUGUUUUAAAGAAGUGUCAUCACGUCGUAGACAUCAUUGGUUACAAUAUCUGUAUUCGGCUAUUCUACUACAACGAUUUACAGUUCGAUGGAACGCAUAAACGCGACUCAUAGACCAAGUAAUUUCAAGAAUUUGUCAACAACUUCACACUUCGUAAAAUAUUGCUGAUCAAACGCUCCAAACUGUCUCUGCAACACAAACCCUUCAUUUACAUGAUCAUGCUGAGGCUCAUUUCGACACACGACAAUGGAAUAUGAACCAAAUGUACCGACGUAUCCUUCGAACUGUCGUCAGUGCUCCUUUCUAUGUAUCAAUUUUACCAUUCACAACGACCUUAAUAUUCAAUAUGUCCACGAAGUUGUAUUAACAGCUACAAGAAUUAUUACAAACGAUUAUCGUAUCACGUAAACCCUAAUGUCAGAAAUUUUUCAUUCCGCACCCUUCCAGUUAAUCCUCGCCGAAGAUUGAAACGUCACUGGUCUCGCGAACCCUAAGUGACAGCGAGAGUGAUUAAUGCCAGAACAUAGCAAUGACUACGAUUGAGUCGUUAGUA